rnacentral:rRNA from 1 species
GAAGGUGGCCUGUGAGGGUUGCUGGAGGUAUCAGAAGUGCGAAUGCUGACAUAAGUAACGAUAAAGCGGGUGAAAAGCCCGCUCGCCGGAAGACCAAGGGUUCCUGUCCAACGUUAAUCGGGGCAGGGUGAGUCGACCCCUAAGGCGAGGCCGAAAGGCGUAGUCGAUGGGAAACGGGUUAAUAUUCCCGUACUUGGUGUUACUGCGAAGGGGGGACGGAGAAGGCUAUGUUGGCCGGGCGACGGUUGUCCCGGUUUAAGCAUGUAGGCGGAGGUUCCAGGUAAAUCCGGUACCUUAUUAACGCUGAGGUGUGAUGACGAGGCACUACGGUGCUGAAGUAACAAAUGCCCUGCUUCCAGGAAAAGCCUCUAAGCAUCAGGUAACAUCAAAUCGUACCCCAAACCGACACAGGUGGUCAGGUAGAGAAUACCAAGGCGCUUGAGAGAACUCGGGUGAAGGAACUAGGCAAAAUGGUGCCGUAACUUCGGGAGAAGGCACGCUGACACGUAGGUGAAGUGAUUUACUCACGGAGCUGAAGUCAGUCGAAGAUACCAGCUGGCUGCAACUGUUUAUUAAAAACACAGCACUGUGCAAACACGAAAGUGGACGUAUACGGUGUGACGCCUGCCCGGUGCCGGAAGGUUAAUUGAUGGGGUCAGCGCAAGCGAAGCUCCUGAUCGAAGCCCCGGUAAACGGCGGCCGUAACUAUAACGGUCCUAAGGUAGCGAAAUUCCUUGUCGGGUAAGUUCCGACCUGCACGAAUGGCGUAAUGAUGGCCAGGCUGUCUCCACCCGAGACUCAGUGAAAUUGAACUCGCUGUGAAGAUGCAGUGUACCCGCGGCAAGACGGAAAGACCCCGUGAACCUUUACUAUAGCUUGACACUGAACAUUGAGCCUUGAUGUGUAGGAUAGGUGGGAGGCUUUGAAGUGUGGACGCCAGUCUGCAUGGAGCCGACCUUGAAAUACCACCCUUUAAUGUUUGAUGUUCUAACGUGGACCCGUGAUCCGGGUUGCGGACAGUGUCUGGUGGGUAGUUUGACUGGGGCGGUCUCCUCCUAAAGAGUAACGGAGGAGCACGAAGGUUGGCUAAUCCUGGUCGGACAUCAGGAGGUUAGUGCAAUGGCAUAAGCCAGCUUGACUGCGAGCGUGACGGCGCGAGCAGGUGCGAAAGCAGGUCAUAGUGAUCCGGUGGUUCUGAAUGGAAGGGCCAUCGCUCAACGGAUAAAAGGUACUCCGGGGAUAACAGGCUGAUACCGCCCAAGAGUUCAUAUCGACGGCGGUGUUUGGCACCUCGAUGUCGGCUCAUCACAUCCUGGGGCUGAAGUAGGUCCCAAGGGUAUGGCUGUUCGCCAUUUAAAGUGGUACGCGAGCUGGGUUUAGAACGUCGUGAGACAGUUCGGUCCCUAUCUGCCGUGGGCGCUGGAGAACUGAGGGGGGCUGCUCCUAGUACGAGAGGACCGGAGUGGACGCAUCACUGGUGUUCGGGUUGUCAUGCCAAUGGCACUGCCCGGUAGCUAAAUGCGGAAGAGAUAAGUGCUGAAAGCAUCUAAGCACGAAACUUGCCCCGAGAUGAGUUCUCCCUGAGACUUAGAGUCUCCUGAAGGAACGUUGAAGACGACGACGUUGAUAGGCCGGGUGUGUAAGCGCAGCGAUGCGUUGAGCUAACCGGUACUAAUGAACCGUGAGGCUUAACCUUACAACGCCGAAG